CCAUUCCUCUCCCUGAAGGGGCGGGUAGUGUAAACCUAAGGCACGCGCUAACCACAGCGUGCGGGUACCCUCCCCCAGCCCCGCGCCGGAGACUACAUUUCCCGGCGGGUCCUGCGCCCACACCGUGGUCAGCUGACCGGUCUCGUGAUCUGCUGACUGUAAGGGGGUUCGACUGGAGGUGAUUAUCCUGGGCCGCUCCUGACCUCCGAGCAAGCGGAGCCAAAAUGUCUCCGGAAUCUAAAAAGCUUUUCAACAUCGUAAUUUUAGGAGUUGCCUUUAUGUUUAUGUUCACCGCCUUUCAGACUUGUGGAAAUGUGGCGGUGAGUUGGAAUCUGUAUUCCUUCCUUUGAAAAGCCUGUCAGAAUGCACUCCAUCUGUGACAAUAAACGUUUAUGUCCGCUACCACGCCAA
rnacentral:lncRNA from 1 species